AGGAUUCAGGAGUGAAGCUUCUGUCUGCUGGACUGGAGAGUCCACGCUGUAAACUGAAGAGUCUCAGGUUGGAGGACUGCAGUUUGUCAGAGAUCAGCUGUGAAGCUCUGGGCUCAGCUCUGAAAUCAAACCCAACUAGUCUGACGGAACUGAACCUGAGCAGGAACAGCAUUCAGGAUUCCGGAUUUCUUCAUCUCCGUGGUUUUCUGGAGAGUCCAGACUGCAGACUGCAGACUCUGAGGUUGAGGAGCUGUGGUUUGUCAAAUAUAAGCUGUAAGCCUCUGAACUCAGCUCUAAAGAACAACCCGUCCAAUCUGACAGAACUGGACCUAAGCAAGAACAAACUCCAGGAUGUAGGAUUUCCUCAACUAUGUGGUUUCCUGGAGAGUCCAGACUGCAGACUGCAGACUCUGAGGUUGGAGAACUGUAGUUUGUCAAAGAUCAGCUGUGCUGCUCUUGUCUCAGCUCUGAAGUCCAACCCAUCCCACCUGACAGAACUGGACCUGAGAUACAACAACCUGCAGUCUUCAGAUGUUCAGCAGCUCCAGUAUCUGGUGAAGAGUCCAAACUCCAAACUGCAGACUCUGAGGUGGGAGAGAGAUGCUCUUCCCAAUAUCCACUGAGCAGAAAGGCACAUCAUCAUCAUCAUCUGGUCUGCAGAGAUGUUGUUCCUGGAGGUGGAGAGCAGAGUGAUGGAGGAAUCAGAGGAAGUGGAGAUGAGUGUCAGAGCUGCAGCAUGAACUGAUCUGAGAUCAGCUCCACUGUCUCUCUCAGGAUGAAGUGGACAGUUAUUGUGCUGCAGCUCCCCUGGUGGACUGAUGGAGAACUGCACUUCAUCUUCUCAUUCUAACUUGGAGUGUUUGGAAAUCUUCUGCUUCUCUUCUCUCUCGUAUUUGGAGUUUCUCUUAACUUUGUCCACACCUCUUGCCUUAGUUGCUGAUGCCAUCCUUCCUGUCAGCUGACAUCUGUGUUCCUCUGUACAUUAUCAUGAAGGAGCAGCUGUGAGCAUUUCUGCACUAAAGUCAGUUGAACAAACAACCAACAGAAAUUGAUCAACCAUUUAUCAGUUUUCUCCUCAGGUGUCCUGAAACUGUUUCUCUGAAUGAUCUGUGUUAGUGAUUCAUCAGAUUCAGACAUGAUGGUUUCCUGCAGAAGCUCAGAAGUCUUUUGAAUAUUAUUGAGGUUUUUCACAGUUUUAUGAUCAAACUUCCUUUUUCUUUAGCGUUUUGCGGGUAAAACAGUCACUUCAUAAAUUGAAUUUUCUUUUGAAAUAUUCUUUCACAUAAUUCUAGUCUGCAGAUUAAACACAGAAAAAACUCAGGAAACAUCCACCUGUGAAAACAGCCUCAUGAGGAUCCAGGAAUUAAUCUACUGUGGAGACCUUUUUACCAUACAGAAUAACCGGAUUACAUAAUUAUGCGAAACAGAGAAAUGAAGUAAUUAAGUAGGGGUGGGAUUAUAUAAAUUCGCUUCUUCCCAAUCCUUUUCAAGCAAUCAAUCAAACUCUACU